UGGGAGGGAUGCUCAGGGUGGGAGGUCACCAUUGGGGCGGGAGCGUGCUGGCAAAACCAAGGGAGGGGCUGGCAGAGCACGGGGCUGCAGAACAGGUUUGGUUUCAAAACCUGCUGUGAUUUCAUUAAACAGCACAUGAGUGCUCUGAAAAGUUCAGAACCUAAUUACUGCAUGUGUGCUCCGAGGGGCUUUGCGUUUGGCGCAGGAUUUCUGUAGGUGGGGGAAGCUCAGGCCCUGUUCAGCAGCAGCGCCCUCUGGCUCCCUGCCCAGAGCUUUGUUCAGGUUGGAUAUUAGGAACAAUUUCUUCUCAGAAAGAGCGGUGAUGCUGUGGUGUAGCUGCCCGGCGAAGUGAUGGGGUCAUCAUCACUGGAGGUGUUUGAGAACCGUGGAGAUGUGGCACUGUGGGUCGUGGUCAGUGGGCACGGUGGGGGUGGGCUGGCGUUGGAUGACCAGUGAGGGUGACGGAGGGUGACUUGUGCUGUCCCCAGGUGCUCUGUUCUGCACCUCCUGAUUCACACCACUGCCUUUGCAUAAUGCACAUAAAAACCCACCAGCAACAACGCGCCAACCCGUCAGAAACUGGGCUUGUCAGCACCAGUGCAAGGAUGGAUUGUUUCCUUCAUUCCAGUGAGUGCCGAGCGAGUGCUGAACUCCAAAUGCUUUCGCUUUUGUGUUUUGUGUCGCUGGGGUGUUUGUGCUGACUCAGGACAGACUGCGAUAAUAAUAAUAAGAGGUUUAAAUACUUAAUGUUAACCAUUCUGCUGGCUGGGUGAGGACAUUGUGUUUUACAGAAAGCUGUGGCAGGGCACAGUUUGCAGAGCGCUGUGGGGUGUUUUUCUCUUUAAAUGCUAAAGGUGGGACACUUGUUUGCAUGCUUUUAGCACAUAAAUGCUUGUUGUGAGUGGUGGCAUUUGUUUCUUUCACACAUCUGGGCUAGAGGAGCAGCACGGAGGCAGUAACACUCACGUAUGGGGCACACAGAGCUGUUUCUCUGGGCAGGAACGCACACUGUGCACACCGUGACCGUGCUCCACACCUCCCAUGCUCUUCCCAUCACCUCCUGCAUGGAUGAGACUUCCUUCAGGCCUGAAAAUCCUGUUGUGCAGGGGUGAGACAAGUUUCCCCGUUUCCAAAAUGCCGGGAGGAAAGCGUCAGCCUCCCAGCCAAGAAGUGGCAAAGGGACAGCACAGGGAUGCAGCACAGCUGGAUAGGAGCCAGAGCAGCUUACAUAGGAUGAGGCUCUGCAUAGGAUAAGGUUCUGGGCUGCGUUUCCGCACCUGUGCAGCCCUGCUCCUGCCUGGCUCAUCUGCAUGCAGCACCCUUCAGAGUUGGCCCAAGGAAUGACUUUUACACCUCAGUACGUGCAAACAGCACGCAGGGAUCGUUUGCAUCACACGCCUCCCUGCCUGUCAACAAGCACGACAGCUUCCUGGAAUUUUUACCUCCUUUGCAUCAUCCUGUUUCUCUGUGCAGCUGCCAGGUUUCUCUGUUUGCGGCACGCAGUUCAGAGCCGGCUCUGCUAAGCAAAGGGAGGGAGGGAGGUGGUGCAGGAGGUGGCUGUGCUCACGGCUGUAACGCACACCUUUCCAUUCAGCUCUCUGCAGGAGCUCCGUGCCUGCUUUCUCUCUGGUGGCCACAGCACUUUGCCACACUGCUCCGUGCUGGGCAGACAGCAGUCACAUCAAUUACAGCAUCGUUCCUGAGCCCCGAAACUCAGCUGCUCCUCGGUAAGGAGGAUAAGCUGUAGGCAAGGUUGGGGAAUUGAAGAAAGCUUUAAUAUUUUCCUUUAAAGAAAACUUUAAUAUUUUCCUUUCUGAGUCAUACAGACUGUGCCCGGGGCAUCGUCGUUCCUAGAGGAACGUGUUGGCUGUCGCAUGGACGGGGCAGACAGUGCUGCGAUGUAAUGCUAUCCCAGUGCUCAUGUAACUGGGCUUCUGCCCGGCGUCCUGGAGACAGGAGAGGAAGGAGGGCAGCCCUGAUGGGUAUCUGGCUUGUAUCAUUCAUAGAGACACCUUGGCCAUGAGGUGGGCAGAGCACUGUCACACACACAGUCUUGGAACAGGUCCUGUAGAAAACACAUGGAGAUGCCCUCAUCCACGGGUAUGGAUGAGCAAACGCUGAGGGACGGCUGCAGCCCCUCCAUCUACAGGAGCAGCAUUUCUGCCCAUGCCUUCUGCCCAUGCUGUUUGCCCCCUGGCCUUCGGAUUCCAGGUGCCCACACAGCACAGCUUUGGAGGGCUCAGGAUGCUGUUUCUCCGUGGAUUCAUCACCCCGAAGCCCCUUCUGAUGGAUCUGCUGGAGGAAAUUGCAGGUGUCCCUUCACAAUCAGCCCAGCACUGCUGCUCUGUGGAUGUUACGAAUGCACUGCAGUUGGGUUUGGAGAAUAAAGGCCCCUCUCUGCUUUCCCGAAAGAGCAAACGUGGGAGUCUGAGGAGAAGGCGUUUGCAGAGGAGAAAAGAGUGCUGUGCAGGAGUGCAGGAUGGGUACACUGAGUCGUUCUUACG